UUUAACCUACGGGGGGCAGCAGUGAGGAAUAUUGGUCAAUGGGCGGGAGCCUGAACCAGCCAAGUCGCGUGAGGGAAGACGGUCCUAUGGAUUGUAACCCUCUUUAGGCGGGGAGCAAUGCCGGGCACGCGUGCCCGGAGGGAGAGUACCCGCAGAAUAAGCAUCGGCUAACUCCGUGCCAGCAGCCGCGGUAAUACGGAGGAUGCGAGCGUUAUCCGGAUUUAUUGGGUUUAAAGGGUGCGUAGGCGGCCUGCUAAGUCUGGAGUGAAAGGUACCGGCUCAACCGGUACAGGCUCUGGAAACGG
rnacentral:rRNA from 1 species